UACGUAGGGUGCGAGCGUUGUCCGGAAUUAUUGGGCGUAAAGAGCGUGUAGGCGGCCAGGUAGGUCCGCUGUGAAAACUCGAGGCUCAACCUCGAGAUGUCGGCGGAAACCAUCUGGCUAGAGUCCGGAAGAGGAGAGUGGAAUUCCUGGUGUAGCGGUGAAAUGCGCAGAUAUCAGGAAGAACACCCGUGGCGAAGGCGGCUCUCUGGGACGGUACUGACGCUGAGACGCGAAAGCGUGGGGAGCGAACAGG
rnacentral:rRNA from 1 species